GACGUAGGGCGCAAGCGUUGUCCGGAUUUAUUGGGCGUAAAGAGCUCGUAGGCGGCUUGUUGCGUCGACCGUGAAAACCCGUGGCUCAACUGCGGGCUUGCGGUCGAUACGGGCGGGCUAGAGUUCGGUAGGGGAGACUGGAAUUCCUGGUGUAGCGGUGAAAUGCGCAGAUAUCAGGAGGAACACCGGUGGCGAGGGCGGGUCUCUGGGCCGAUACUGACGCUGAGGAGCGAAAGCGUGGGGAGCGAACAGG
rnacentral:rRNA from 1 species